UACGUAGGUGGCAAGCGUUAUCCGGAUUUAUUGGGUGUAAAGGGCGUGUAGGCGGGAGCGCAAGUCAGAUGUGAAAACUCAGGGCUCAACCCUGAGCCUGCAUUUGAAACUGAGUUUCUUGAGUGCUGGAGAGGCAAUCGGAAUUCCGUGUGUAGCGGUGAAAUGCGUAGAUAUACGGAGGAACACCAGUGGCGAAGGCGGAUUGCUGGACAGUAACUGACGCUGAGGCGCGAAAGCGUGGGGAGCAAACAGG
rnacentral:rRNA from 1 species